rnacentral:rRNA from 1 species
UACGUAGGGGGCAAGCGUUGUCCGGAUUUAUUGGGCGUAAAGAGCGUGUAGGCGGCCAGGUAGGUCAGCUGUGAAAACUCGAGGCUCAACCUCGAGACGCCGGUUGAAACCAUCUGGCUAGAGUCCGGAAGAGGAGAGUGGAAUUCCUGGUGUAGCGGUGAAAUGCGCAGAUAUCAGGAAGAACACCCGUGGCUAAGGCGGCUCUCUAGUACGGUACUGACGCUGAGACGCGAAAGCGAGGGGAGCAAACGGG